rnacentral:snRNA from 1 species
AAUCCAAUUUUUUUUUUU